AGUCAACACUGCCUCCUGAGAUACUCACAGAUACAGAAUUCUCUGCCUUUCUGCCACAGGCAGGCAUCUUCUGGUUACUAUAAUUAGCAUCACUUUCGAUGGAGGGGAAGCAGACUUUUCAUACUGUCUUUCAUGCAGAGUUAGCCUGUUUAGAGACUGCCUAUAGAUGAAGAGCAGUUUAAGGAUUUUUUUUUUCUUCACCAAAUACUAUUCUAAACUCUUCCUUUUAAUAAUAGAAAAAAGUAGGGCUGGAGAAAUAGCUCAACAGUUAAGAGCACUGGCAGUUAGUUCCUCUAGAGGACUCAGGUUUGAAUCCCAGCAUCCACAUGCCAGCUCACAACUGUCUGCUGUGAUCCAACUGUAAAGUGAUCCAAAACUCCAGUUCCAGAAGAUCUGGUGGCCAAACACCAAAUGCACACAAUAUAAAAAUAAAGAAAUCAUCUUACAAUAACCACCCACCCUCAUCGGCAGGCACUCUUCACCGUCAUCCCCUUGCUUUAUAAAAGAAAAGAAAUGAAAAAGUUCUUAGUGCUGCUAUUGCAAACAGAAUUUGAAAUCUAGCAAUUAUUUAAACAAUAAAUUAAAAAAGCAGUUUGCAUCUUGGUGCAUAGUUGGUAGGAAUGGCAAUUUUUUUCUUUAAAGGUAAUUGUUCAUUUACCAAGAUGCCUGGAGAUAUUUUUUUCCUAUUAAGUAGUUGAGUAAUGCUGCAAUCUAUUUAAAUUUUAAAUUUCAAUUAUUAUUGAAGUAGCCAGAGGCAGCUUUUUUUUCCCUCUAUAUUUUUAAUUCCUAAUGUUAUAGCCAUCUACUCGAUGCAUGUCUGUUUUGAAAAGCAAUCCCUUCUUAAAAUGUGUGCUUGUACGUGCGUGCACACAGAGGUCAGAGGGCAAUAUCACUUUUCCUUAAUUGCUCCCCACCUUGUUUUUUGAGACAGGGUCUCUCACUGAACACGAAGUUCACUGAUUGAGCUGGGCUGCUUGGUUGUCAGUUACCUUGUUUUUUUUUUUUUUUUUUUUUUUUUUGGUCUUUUUGUUAUUUUGUCUUUUUUUUUUCCAGAGCUGAGGACCGAACCCAGGGCCUUGCGCUUGCUAGGCAAGCGCUCUACCACUGAGCUAAAUCCCCAACCCCUGCUUGGUUGUCAAGAGCUCUAGGGAUCUGCCUUCUUGUCUCUUUCUUCCCAGCACUAGCAUUACAGGAGCGAUGCCAUGCCUGUGGGCAUUGGUGAGAUCCUUUGGUCCUUUGCUUGCCCGGCAAACACUUUGCCAAUGUCAUUUCUCAGUUCAUAUUUAUUUUCUUUGAUGUUUGAACCUUGAACCAAAAUUUUCAUGAAUGCCAACCAUGUUUUCUAGGCACAACUUCAGCCCUCCCUUUUAAUUUUUUUUUUUUUUAAUAUUUUGAGACAGUCUCACUAUGCAGCCUUGGUUGGCCUGGAACUCACUCUGUAGACCAGGCUGUCCUAGAACUCACAGAAAUCCACCUGCCUCUACCUCUCUAGUGCUGGGAUUAAAGGCAUGUACCACCACACCCAGAUACUUUAAAAUUUUUUUAUUAUUUUAUUUAAAAUAUAUGAGUGUUUUGCCUACAUAUAUAUGUGUGUACCAUGUGUAUGCCUGGUGCCUGUGAAGACCAGAAGAGGAUGUCAGAGGCCCUGUUGGAUCCCCUAGCACUGGAGUUAGGGAUGGUUAUGAGCCACCAUGUGGGUGCUGGGAAUUGAACUCCUGUCCUUUGCAAGAGCAAGUAGUGUUCUAAACUGCUAAACCAUCUUUCCAGCCCCUAUUUUUAAAAAUUAUUUUAAGGAAGGGAAAGACUUUUGAGUUUGAAAACUAUAUUAAUAUCAUAAAUGUAGCAUAUGAUAUUUUAGAACCCCAUAAACACAUACUGGUCAUUAAUAAGCAGUAGAUUCUAAAUUAACUUGAGAAAUUGAUAGUACGUAUCCUAAAAGUGUUACCAUUGUACCCGUCUGCUGUAAAGGUUCAGAAUCGUCACUGUAAAGGCACUAGUCUUUUGAAUAGUGCAUUAAAAAUGACUCCAAGUAAAUCUUGUCAUUAAAGGCCAGAAUUUCAUUGACUAUAAGAGAAAAGAAGAAAAAAUAGAGGACAAGUGAUAUUACCAUAUACUGAGGACUUGGGUUUGAGUCCCAGCACUUAUCAAAAACUGAGCAAAAAGAUGGUAAUUUAGGUCUAUUAAACUAUAUUGACGAUCAGUGAGCUAGGGUGCAGCUAAGUGGCAAAGUAAUUCAGAAGCAUUCAUGAAGCCCUGAGUUUGAUCCCAGUAAGCGAAGAGGAGGAAGAGGAGGAAGAGGAGGAAGAGGAGGAAGAGGAGGAGGAGGAGGGUAAAACAUUGAAAAUCAAAUAUAAAAUAAAGGUAUUCUCUUAAAACAAAGUCCAAUGAUUGUAAAAAGCGCCUUAGAGUCAUACUCUUAGUCAAAUGAGCUAAUUAAACGCCACAGUGGAAAAGCCCAUUAAAUACGACAUUAAGUAAUUAGUACAUUUUAUAUUCCUACAUAGGUCAGAAUCAUCAAACCAUGAAACUGAAUUUCUUCUCAUUUCCCCGAAGACUAUAAAAGAUUUUAAUUAAUUGAGCUUUCCAUUUUGAGAAUUUCCUUGGUUUAAAAAGCUUUUUAUUUUAUUAUAACUUUUUUAAAGUGGUUGUCAAAUAAAUACAGCUUUCUCUGUUGCCUGGUAGCUUUUGUGGUUGAUACAGACCAUGGGAAAUUAUUAUAUUAUUCAGUUCCUUCAGCAUAGAUGACCGGCUAUGUUCAAACAAAGUACCAAACCAUCUGACAUUUUAUGAUAUGCAUAAUUAACAGUAAAUUCUAAGAAAAUAUAAUUUAAAACUAUUUUUUAAAACAGUUAACAUGAAGUUUACUGUUUCCUUACUACAGGAAGGAUUUCAAAUAAUAAAAUAAUUUUACUAUAAUGAGAAUGUUUAUUCAUAGCAGUAUUUAGCAUUUGCCAAACACUGUGCUAAAUGCUGCUUCAUAGAAAUAAAUAAGCACAUUCCUUUUCUCACAUAAGCAGCUUAAAGUCAGACCAGUGAGCCAGAGAUACACUGCAGUAUGAAUGUAGUCAGUCAGUGGCUGUCCGUGUGUCACUGUGUGCUAAGCACCGCAGUGCUAUUGUUCUGUUUU
rnacentral:lncRNA from 1 species